rnacentral:rRNA from 1 species
AUUGAACGCUGGCGGCAUGCUUUACACAUGCAAGUCGAACGGCAGCGCGGGCUUCGGCCUGGCGGCGAGUGGCGAACGGGUGAGUAAUACAUCUGAACGUGCCCUGUAGUGGGGGAUAGCUCGGCGAAAGCCGGAUUAAUACCGCAUACGACCUGAGGGUGAAAGCGGGGGAUCUUCGGACCUCGCGCCAUUUUAGCGGCCGAUGGCAGAUUAGCUAGUUGGUGGGGUAAAGGCCUACCAAGGCGACGAUCUGUAGCUGGUCUGAGAGGACGACCAGCCACACUGGGACUGAGACACGGCCCAGACUCCUACGGGAGGCAGCAGUGGGGAAUUUUGGACAAUGGGCGAAAGCCUGAUCCAGCAAUGCCGCGUGUGUGAUGAAGGCCUUCGGGUUGUAAAGCACUUUUGGCGGGAACGAAAAGGACUGUGCCAAUACCACGGUUCGAUGACGGUACCCGCAGAAUAAGCACCGGCUAACUACGUG